rnacentral:lncRNA from 1 species
UCAUACAUCUCACAGCCCAUACAUCCAUCGCAUGUCAUACAGCCAUGGCAAGUGCUUUCACAGGGAUGGAUCCGCCUGCGAGAUUGAUUUCUGUUCUACACAGUUUAGGUUUUUUUCCAUGUUAAAACUAGACUCAAGUACACAUGUUUACAGAUGGCAAUUGGCAAAAAAAAUUACCAAGGGGUAUCCUGCAUCCUGCACUUGUAUAACUAUGGCAAAAAAGAAAACACAAACCAUACAGGACCCUAGAGUAUGUUUCCACUUGUGCUGAGAUGUAGAAGAUGUAGAUGAAAGUGCCAUUGCAGUAUUUAUGUAGAAUAAAAUACAAUUGCAGUAUAUGCUAGCAACAGGUUGCAGUAUAUAUGUAGAACAAUAACCCUUCCAGAAUGUCAUCAAAUAACUACCAUUUCUGUCUUCAUGAUUUUUGCCAUUCAAUAGUUGCAUAUGGGGAAUUCAAAAAGCACGGUUGGCGAACAUCAACCUGAAGAUGACGUAACUACAGGUAUGAUGCACUCUACCAUGUUUUCGUUUAGUUGCGAGACCUGAAUAUAUGACAGUAUGCAUAAUGUCUUCCAGGUCUUACACGCGGGAGAAGUGAUGCAGAACACAAUGCGAGCAUCAUACCCGUAGCUGAAAUUGUUGAUAACGUCUACUCGACGGAAUCAGGUAUAAUACUGUCCGGAGAUUGGUUAUAAAUGUUGCUUCACGUCCAUUUCUGAAAGUGGCAGAAUGCAUUAUGUGUUGCAGUCCUUACGGGCGGGAUAAAUGUUGGAGACUACAAUGCAAACUUCAUACCCUUACAUGCAGGUAUAAGACUGUGUCAAGAUUGCUGCUAAUGUUUCGUGCAUACCGUAUAUUUUGUUGAUUGCUAAGAUGUAGGGCAGGAACCUUCAAACGACGGGAUUUCGUCGUAUUCUGAGAAUAAUAAGGAUGGUACGACUAAGCUACGAGAUGAUACUCAAGGUAUUCACAGGCAUGCUUAUACAGCUUCCAAAUCGACAUCUCCCAGAUGAGCUUAAUGGGCUUUGUGGUUUUUACGCUUAACGUAAUGCAGAUGACAAAACUUCCGAGCAGCACGCAACAGUAGCUGUAUUUAAUGAAGAAAAAAAAUGUUGGCGAAACAAGGGAGCAGUUCAACGCACAGAGGUGUGAAUCUUAUCGGAAGAAAAAAGAGGAGGAUAUGGUCAGGUUACAAGAGUAUAAUCAGCCAUCCCUUUCAAAGACUGGUAAGUAUUUAAGCGUGAUUUUGUUGAGUACUCUUGGUUUUUUCUGAAUACUUAAAUUAAUCGUUAUAGUAACCUGACUUCAUAGAUGUUCCCCGUGUUGGUUUCAUAGAUGUUGUAUCAACAUCGAUACUUUUUUUGUUCUCUAACUCUCAUACCUAUUGUAAAAAUGGUAGAUCAUAGGGAUCUUAUCAACGCGUGGAGGCGGGCAUCUUAUCGCACUAAGAAGUCAGAUGGUUUUAUAAACCAUCUAGACGAUGGGCCGAUUGUUCACCGCCGUACUCUAUGUGAUAUCACAAAUGUUCAACAACCUUCAUAUGUGAUCCCUGGUACUUAUUUGGUAGAUUUACAAUGUCGUUAAUUAUAUGUGCGUAUUUGACAAUCAUACUAUUUGUGAUUAUGUUUAACUUCUCUUUGCUUUCUGAACGCCCGUGGUGGAUAACUAUAGGAACUAAUGUUGGGGCAGCUAAUCAAACCCACGCGAGAUGAUAAGCACAGGAAAGUUGAUCUUCGUCCCCUUUGUAAUCCAAGUAAGAUUAUUUUAUGUUACAUCCUAGCAUUCAUGGUUCAGCCAUUUUAAUAAAUACUAACCAAGCAUGUUAUAUCAGAUGACCCAGCUAGCUCGGUUGAUACAUCAAUCUCGCAUAAUGAAUCAACAUAUCCUCCUAAAGCUACGUGAGCGUCUGAUGUAAUUGCAGAUAAAAAUAUAAAAGGUAAAAUGAUUGUGCUUUUUCCAUACUCGUUUGCUGUCAUGUUGUUUUUACCUUUCGCUUUUGAGAGAAACCCAAGGAAGACAUCAGUAGAUAACUUGAAUGAUAACACAGAAAAUACGCAAGUAACAGAAGAAGAACGCAAACAAGACCGUAAAAAAGCUUUGAGGAGAGCUGCAUAUCGGCAGAGAAAAGAUCGGAAUCUCCAAGAUGAACAUGCACAGGCCCUUAUUUUAUCUGGUAACCUCUAAAGGUUUUGACCAUUAUAUUCAGUACCCGACUUCAUGUCUUAAUGAUUAAGUUUUCCACAUGUUUUCAUCAAUUUGUUUAACCAGCCAACCCAACUAGCUCCAACUAUACAUCAUUCUCGUUUGAUGCGACGGCAUUUCAUGCUACAACUACUGUCACAUCUGGUCUCAUUAAUGACAUGGAGGUACAAGGUAAUCGAUUUGUGCGUACUCCAUCAUCAAUUGCUAUCAUUGUUAUGUUUUAUUGUCUAAUGUCCUGAUCGAUAUCAGAUGUGGUCUUGAAUAACACCCAAGAAACAAAGCAAAAAACCGACGAAGAACUCAAGAGAGAUCGUAGAAACGCCCUGCGGAGAGCUGCUUAUAGGAGGAAAAAGGAUAAGCUUAUCCAUGAUGAAAACAUACGUCCACUUUUGUUAUCAGGUAAAACAUGAUCUAUAUUUUCACCAUGACUUACAUAUCUUGUUUUGCUGCUCAUAGCUAAAUAUUCUUAUAGCCACCAUCAUGCUCGAUGCGUACAGUUUAAUGCUGCAUAUUAAUGCACCAUCAUGGUUUUUUUCCUAUAGACGUCUUAAAUAAUAUUGGUUCUAACUAUGUUUUAAAAUCAUUACGAAACCAGCCAACCCUAAUAGCUCCAGCUAUAUAGAAUUCGAGGGUGACGCAGCAACAUUUCCCCAUUCAACAUUAGACGCGUCUGUUGUCACUCAUGACAAUGAUCUAGCUAGGAGGCAACGUGAUAAUGAGCAGAAAAGAAAUUUAACAAACGCGCAAAGGGAGCAAAUAAACGCACAGAGGCGUGCAGAUUAUCAGCGAAAUAAGGACAAGGUAUCUGUUGAUGUCAGAGAAAUAGUGAAUGAAAAAGUACGAGAGAAGCGAAUGCAACAUCGCAAAAGCAUGUCAGUGAUUGAGAAGGGGGAGUCAAGUGCUCAGAGGAAGGCCAAUUAUGCCAGAAGAAAAAACACCCCAUGCAACGAAUCCAUCGCGCUCCCACGUCCAGACCUAGCAAACUCAACCUCUGAAUGUCCCACUUUAAUCUGCCGCGCAUCAUCCGUCUCUCGGGUCGCCGAAGAUGAUUCAUCUGAUGGCGACCCUCCGACGAACAAGAUGAAUUACAUUGUUGGUAUCGAAGGUAUGAAAUUGCUAAUGUCACUUUCUUCUGCUCAUUAUCAGCAACCAUCUUCUAACAUGAUGUUAUCUACUGUGACAUUCGCAACGACGAAUGUCCAGAGGACAUCGAAUUUUUACAAAGCGGCAUCGUGGGCGAUGAGCCGACAGCAGCCGAAUUGAUGGAUGAGGAGUACUACAUGUUUCGCAACGAAGAUAUGGUCAGAUAUGAAGUAGGACGGCGUGCAUCUAUAUUGUAGUUAAUUUUUUUUUGUAAUUUUUGUUUUGAACGUUAUGUUUCAACAAAUGCUCGUAGGGUCCGAUCAUGACAACAUGGAUGAUGACGAGGAAGGGAGCAUGUCGUCUGCUAUACCUAGCGAGGUUGAUCCAUUAGAAUUUGUUUACACAAACAUCCCCGACACCACUCACAUCCUGAAGCUCGACGCAAACUGCAAACACUGCAAGGCCAAAAAGUUUGUCUCUGAGACCGACGGGUUCUGCUGUCACAAUGGCCAGAUCGAACUUAAACAACCGGAGCCAAUCCCAGAGCUGAUGAGGCUAUGGUCAAGCAUGGAUGCAGAUUCUAGACAUUUUCGGGAGAACAUACGGUUCUUCAACGGGCAUUUCGCCUUCACAACCCUUGGCGUCAGCCUUGAUGAGAACUACACAAACAUGAAGUCUGGGGUGUACACAUUCCGUGCGCACGGCUCCAUCUGCCACAAUGUGCAUUCGUUCGGGCCUAGCUCCCGUCCAGAACAUCUGCAGUUGUACUUCAAUGAUGACGACCCAACCAUAACUCAUCGUAAGGUGGCCACCAAGCAAUUAGACCAGGAUGUCGUGAAGAAGUUAGUAGACAUACUCAAAGAAAACCCGUACUCCCAGCAAUUUAGGAGUUUGGGUGCACACAAGGACAACCUCGAUGAUUAUAGGAUAGACCUAAACACCGAUAAGAGGCUUGACCAAAGAAGAUAUAAUAGACCGUUGUCAUCUGAGGUCGCUGCAAUUUGGGUUGAGGGCAACGACCUAGCAAAAAGGUUUGACCGGAGGAUAACACUUUGUGGUAACAACAACGAAAGGCAUAGUAUACGUGUGACCUCCGGAGCAUAUGACCCGUUGUCUUAUCCCCUAUUCUAUCCAAGGGGGGAGCUAGGUUGGCAUCCAAAGCUACUUAAACGUAAUGUAACGGAGGAGGUUGUACUACAUUCUCAACUGGUGCAUGAUGAUGAUGAGGAUGCAGGUAUGCCGUCUGCGUCCCAUUUUGCUACAAAUAAUAUCUUAUUUCUCGAAUAUAUCCUCAUUUUGAUGGUACUCAAUCAUGUGCAGAGGGCAACAGCAGGUUGUGCGUCUCUAUCAGAGACUACUACUGUUACAUGCUGCAGACACGGCCUGGAAUCUUCAAUCCCAUACUCUGUGGAGCACGCCUCUUGCAGCAAUGGGCGGUCGACAUGUACGUCAAGAUUGAAAGUUGUCGGUUGAGGUGGUACAGGAAAAACCAGACGCAGAUUCGUGCCGACUUGUAUAAAGGAGUUGUUGAUGCAAUCACAUCGGGGGAGACGCGAGCAAGCGCUGUUGGGGUAAGAAUAGUGCUCCCUGGAACAUACCCUGGUGGCGACCGCGACAUGAAGAAGAGGCAUAUGGAUGCCAUGGCAAUUGUCCAUACAUACGGGAAGCCUGACAUCUUCUUGACCAUGACUUGCAAUCCUAAAUGGGAGGAGAUAACGAAUGAGUUGCUGCCUGGUCAGACGGUGCAAGACCGACCUGAUAUUGUGGCUCGCGUGUUCUACGGCAAGCUAGAGGCUAUGAAGGACAUGUUGUUCAAGAAGCAUAUCCUGGGUGUUGUUGUCGCAUAUGUAUACGUAGUCGAGUUCCAAAAAAGGGGCCUCCCCCACGCACAUUUUUUGUUGAUUUUGGACUCUAAAUAUAAGCUUAUCGUCCCGGAGCAGUAUGACCGACUCAUUUCCGCAGAGCUCCCAGACAAGCAUAAGUAUCCGGAAUUGUAUGCUAUGGUGGUAAAACAUAUGAUGCACGGACCAUGCGGUGCUCUCAACCCGAAGAAUGUUUGCAUGCAAGAAAACAGAUGCAAGUGCAGAUACCCACGGCCGUUCAAUGAAAACACAUCACAGGGGAAGGACUCGUACCCAAUUUAUCGGCGUAGAGACGAUGGAAGGCGUGCUAAGGUCCGAGGGAAGAUGUUGGACAACAGAUGGGUUGUGCCUUAUAACCCAUACCUGCUGCGGAUGUUCAAUUGCCACAUCAACGUUGAGGUCUGCUCCAGCAUAAAGGCCGUCAAAUAUCUUUACAAGUACAUUUACAAGGGCCAUGAUAAGGCUUCUUUCAACAUCGACCAUCCCGACGCCGGUGGUAACAUUGAUGAGAUCAAGAGAUACGUUGAUGCAAGGUGGAUCGCCCCUCCGGAGGCUAUGUGGAGGAUAUUUGGCUUUCCACUUUGCGCCAAUUACCCACCUGUCUUGCAGUUGCCUCUUCAUCUCCCGAAUAUGCACAGGGUCGCAUUCAAUGCGCAGGCUGACUUGAAGAAUGUUGUCGCCUCCGAAAAUAAUUCAAAAUCCAUGUUAACGGAGUAUUUCAAGGCUAACCAGGAACACCCUCGGGCUAGGCAUAUAUUGUACAAGGAUUUUCCCGGAAGCUUCACGUGGCAGAAGAAAAAGAAGUUUUGGAAGCCGCGGGUCGAGCGUUUUCAAAUAGGUCGCAUCGUGUCUGCCAAUCCUGCCGAGGGUGACCGAUACUACCUGCGUGUGUUGCUAAACCAUGUUACGGGCAAAACAUCCUUCGACGACUUGCUCACCGUGGACGGCGUUCUAUGUGGGAGCUUUAGAGAAGCUGCUGAAAGGUUGGGACUCAUCGAGGCAGACAACACGCUCGACAACUGUCUUACUGAGGCUGAGCAGUGGGCGAUGCCAUGUUCUCUUAGGAGGCUCUUCGCAACCAUCUUGGUGCACUGCGAGCCAAGCGACGUGCGUGGUUUAUGGGAUAGGCACCUCGAUCCUAUGUCAGAUGACUCUCGUCGAUCACGCACGUCCCCUAUCGAGGUGGAGCAGAUGGUGUUGCUUGACAUUAGGGGUAUGUUGCAGUCCAUGGGUAAAGACAUUGUUGAUUUCGCUCUUCCAAGCAUAGAUGAUGCGUUUGACCCAACCGAGGGUGAGGCAAGAGAGGUCAUCGAGGAAUCAACUGUUGAGUUUGACGUGGAUGAUACUAAAUUGGCAUCUUCCCUAAACUUGGAGCAGAGGGCCGCAUAUGACGAGAUACUAGCGGCUGUUGAACGCGGUGAUGGGGGUGUAUUCUUUGUUGAUGGCCCUGGAGGUACAGGGAAGACCUUUCUAUACAGGGUGAUGCUUGCCAAGGUGAAGAGCGAUGGCAAUAUUGGUAUCGCUACCGCGACGUCGGGCGUCGCCGCUUCUAUCAUGCCUGGCGGCAGGACUGCCCACUCGAGGUUCAAGAUCCCAUUGAGUUGCGAUGAUGGAGCCUCGUGCAGCUUCACGAAGCAGAGUGGGACCGCCAAGCUGCUUAGGAUGGCCUCAUUGAUAAUAUGGGAUGAGGCCAGCAUGACGAAACGACAAGCGGUCGAGGCAUUGGACAAUAGCAUGCGCGACAUCAUGGGAAUACGCGACCGACCCUUUGGAGGAAAGACUGUUGUUUUUGGCGGGGACUUUAGGCAGGUGCUUCCGGUCGUCAGAAGGGGGUCGCGGGGCCAGAUAAUUGAUGCAACCCUACGAAGUUCUCAUCUAUGGAAGGGUAUGCGGCAGCUUCGGCUCAUCACCAACAUGAGGGCUCAUAAUGACACGUGGUUUGCAAAUUACUUGCUAAGGGUCGGCAAUGGCACUGAGGAAGUCGACGAUCAAGGCAACAUACUACUCCCUGAAGACAUUUGUCUGCCGUCUACAGGCGAGGUUGACGACCUGGAGAAGCUUAUUCACCACGUGUUUUCGAGUCUAGAUGACAACAUGUCUGAUUCAAAUUACAUGACAUCCCGAGCAAUCCUUUCCAUGACAAACGACAAUGUCGACAAGAUAAACAUCCGCAUGAUAGAGCGUUUUCAGGGAGAUGAAGUAAUAUACCAUAGCUUUGACAGUGCGGAGGACGACCCAUAUGGCUACUACGCUCAGGAGUUUCUGAAUGGAUUGACUCCUAACGGUCUUCCUCCGCAUGCACUCAAGCUAAAGUUGAACUGCCCUGUCAUACUUCUAAGGAACAUUGAUCCAGCAAAUGGAUUGUGUAACGGCACUAGGCUUGUUGUUAGAGGUUUUGAGAGGAACACCAUUGAUGCAGAAAUCGUGAUUGGACAACACGCUGGCAGGAGGGUCUUCCUUCCUCGAAUACCUCUCUGCCCAUCUGAAAACGACAUGUUUCCGUUCAAGUUUAAGAGGAAGCAAUUUCCUAUAAGGCUUAGCUUUGCUAUGACCAUUAACAAGGCUCAAGGGCAGACAGUCCCGAUUGUUGGUGUCUACCUACCCAAUCCCGUGUUCUCUCAUGGUCAACUCUAUGUUGCUUUGUCUCGAGCCACCGCAAAGAGAAACAUAAAGAUACUCAUUCAGAAGGAGAAGCCGAAGGAGAAGUCCAACAAGCAAAAGGACAAUCCAAAGAAGCGAAAAACACCGACCGUGUCAUUACUAACCUCGAUGAAGAACAUCGUCUACAAGGAAGUCCUUACAGGCUGAAGUCCGGUCUUAAUAGACCGGCAGGUUAUGUAAUGACACAACAUUUACUCUUGUGAUGGUCAAGAUUUAUUUUAAUUCGUUUUUUUACAUAUAUCUUUUUUAUUUGGUAUUUUGAUAGUUGGAGGUAUACUCCAUUUAGUUGAGCUACUAACUGCAUUUCAAUAAUCAGCCGUCAUGUUGGCACCAUCAUCGUUGUUAUAUCUUUUCUACUAUCGCAAUGUUUCUGGGAGUGUACAUGUCACCCACCGUAGUAUUUCAUGUGUAAUAUGUGAUUCAGAUAUAAUGAUUGGCCUGAAAAAUACCUGGAACAUGCAAUGAAACUUUUGUGUUACGGCAAGUGAUCAUAUCCAUUGUUAUUAUUUUGAUAUUUUGAUAAUAUGGUUGAAUGUAAAUUUAUUGGCGUCCUUAUUAUCCCUGUAUUAUUCUGAUAGGUCAGAAGUAUAUGAUUAUGAUUGGUCUGAAUUAUAAGACCAACACACGCAGAAGGGAAGUUUGUGUAGCUUUUCAAGAUAUAUUUUGCAUAUGUACAUCUAAUAAAUAAUAAAAUGGUAGCAUGCGUACUUGCAAAUAUGUUCAAAUGCCCGUGCGACUCUGGAGAAUGUGACAAUGCACGUGUCUGAUCGCUAAAGUGUGCAAUCUUUGGAAAAAAGAUUGAUUACUUGUACUUUCACGCGUCUGAACUAAUUAUUUAUCAGUUCAGUUCAAGUUUCAUUUUUAUUUUUUGCAUUGGUUCAUGUACCUUCAUGAGUUUACUGCGGAUCUGAAAGAGUUCUAACCUAUAAAAUUGUACAAGGCUGCAUUAAUCUAGGACCUGGCGAGGAUUGGUUCAGAGAGCAAGCAUCGUUCUGCAGUAUCUUAAGGACGCUGGUUGGGCUGAGGGUGGUCGACUUAUAGGUUGCACCCAGCCAAGACGAUUGGCUGUGCAGGUAUCAACUGUUUAAAUGUUCAUCAAAAUGUGUAUCCUUCUCUAGAUGCCAUAUAAUACUAGGUUUCUCUUUUUACCUUCUGAUCAGAGCAUGCACCAGAUUAUUCUUUUGGGUACGUCCCUAGCAACUAGCAUGGCGAGUAAGGAUCUUAGCUAAUUAUCUAGAGCAAGCUUCUGUAUUACUUAUGGAUAUUCUGGUGCAACAUGAAUCAAACCCGGGCAACAUGAAUCUAAGAAAUAAAUUAUUAGAGAUAGAUAACUCCUAAAAGAUAAGCUUGGAGGACUUUCGCAGAGCUCCCAGCCACGAAGAUUUAUCCAGCUUCCCCUUUGUGACCUAGCCGUUUGUGACAGGGUUGCCAUGUGGUAGUGGCCAUAGUGCCCAAAAGUGUGUCUGUAACAGGAGACUUCAUCCUGCAAAAUUAUUCAUGUGCUCCGGCAGUGAUUUCUGACAUCCUAUACGGAGCAGUCAGCUGAUAGAACCAUAUCUGUACUAAUUAGAAGAUGGUAGCUGAACAUUUUGUUUACUGCAUUGGUAUUACUAAUUUCCAUAUGUUUGAAUUUUUUUACAAGGUAGGGGUUGCGUUCUAUUUUACAUUUGUUGUCAAUGUAUUUUUUAUGUAAUACUAUGUCACUACUAUAUAACACUGAUUUUUAGCGUAGAUAUCCAUGAAGCCAGCCUCAUGACACUUGACGAAACACGUGCGUACGUCAAUGGUGUUGUUCAAGCUAGGAACAAUGGAGGCUAGAAGUAUCUGUGUACACAAGUGCACAAUUUGUCUUAGAUAUAAAAAUGUAUGAACGCUUUGCAUGCAACAUUUUGUUGCCAAUUGUCACAUUAUGAAGUGUUCGCUUAUGUCUUGGAGGUUUAAUAAUAUGUGAUAUUCAAUAAAAAAAUCUAUUUAACAGUGUCGUCAUAUUUCGGAGCCAUAUACUGUGAAGUUCAGAACUAUAUAUUUGACUAAUAUAUAUUUGAUGACCAAACUGUCAAUAAUGGACUUCAAAUGGUAACCUGUCUACUCUCAUUUGAGCUACACGUAUGAAUCUCUUUCAGUGUAGGUUCAAAUUUUUUAAUAUACAGUGCAGCGCAAAAAGGAAAAUACGUUUACCUUGACAGAUGCUAUCGCAUGCUAUCAUGCAUUAUGACAUUCCAAAGAUAAUAUAAUUAAUUUUGUACAUGGAAUCAAGGAUUGCCGUAUGCCCGUGCGUUGUGUUUCUUUCUACACACGGAAACAAUAGUUCUUCAAGUGGCGCGGGCUUUUUGAUCGUGGUGAGGAGGACAAAAACAGAAGAAGAAAAAACGUUGUGUUUCUUUAUAUUUCUCGGACGCCCGUGUUUGACGUAUAUUUGGGAAAUAAAUUAAUUGUUUCUUUCUAUAUAUCUGGAGGCAAAGUUUGGAAAGGAGACAUAAAUUAGGAAAUAUAUAAUCCGGCGUUGAUACAUUUGCCGGGUGGAGCAUGCAACCAAAAUAAUUUUAUUCCAUGUUUUCCUAUAGUUUUUGUUAUGGAAUAUUGUAACUACGGAAGGAUAUGGGCCACCUUCCGAGUACAUGCCCACGAUUCCUCCCGGCCAGGAUAUGUCAAUUAGAACUAUAAUUAUCCUUAAAGUCAUUUCCUUCCAAAACGUUAUAGUGUCCAAUCUCCCGGUCCAGCCUACCAUACGUUCAAUGGGUUUCCCAGUGUGGCCAUUAAUAUUCCCUUAAUCGGAUUUGUUUAUAAGGAAAGUUAAAUUAUGCUUCUUCCGAUCGGGAAAGGGAGACAUAUAUAAUAGAUAUAUAAUCCGGCGUAUAUUUAUUUGCCCAGUGGAGUAUGGAAGAAAAACAUAUGCUUGUCCUUUUAUUAGCAAGGAUUUGUAAUGAAACAUGCACGGAUGGAAUGAUAAGGGGCACCUUCCAAUCCAUACAACAUGCUAAUGCGUCACCGACCUGGUGCCGGACGAUUCCCCUCCGACACUCAUAUAUAUGGUCCGGCUGUGAGUCCACCGUUGUCCACUGCCCCCUCGCUCGCUCGUCCUGGUGCUAAGACGACUUUCUGCCCGUGCCAAUGGCUGCAAUGCCGAUUUUUGAUGGAGUGAACGACGCAGUCGAGUACAUAUACAACUACGUCAUGCUUUCCUCAGUCGAGGAGCAGUUAGAGUUUGUUCUGGCAGCCCUAAACUCUAUCUAUAAUUUAUUUGCAAUUGUUAGCUGCAGAUCAGUACCAUUAUAUUAUGCAUUAUCGGCUUCUUAUUUUAAACCCGAGUAAAAAUCUGUUCUUUCACCUAAUCCACGUCGAUGGGUUGGUCACGUUCAUGAGUUGUUGCAUGCAUGCACUGGUUAGGAUCAUGCGAUCCUUUCUAAGUCCAUAAGGUUCUUAAGAUCUAACGUAGUGGUUGCAAAAAUCUGGUCAUGCGCUAAUAUUAUCCUUUUACAUUACGCCAUGUUAGUACCAUCCACAGCACGUUAUUUUAAACUACAAAUUUUCUAUGAACUGUAGUAUAUUGCAACGGGUCCUGGUGCAUGAUACAUGUACCAUCUAUAGAUUUUAUCAUAACUGUAAUAGGAACAAGUUGCAACCGAACAUAUCAUAAUAGAUUUGGUUAUCUUACGAAAUAGUACUUAUGUCCUCAAAUGACACUACAACUCCAAUUUUUAGGUACAUACAUUUCAGACCUUUCUAAAGUUUUGAAAAAAUAUACUAUUGUUUGCCCACACAUUGAAGUACAAUAUUUUUAUGAUACCCUGAUUUUAUCAUGCCGGUUUGUUUGCAGCACAAUAUGGAUAAGGAGCCCUCGUCCAUUCGUGAUCGAGUUAAGUCUACGGACUAUCCAAGACACCAUGCGAGGUGAUACAUGGGUCAAUCCGAGCUGCUUCGAUCUUGCAGUGCGUAAGCUUAGUAGCGACGCGAUACAAAGGAACGCAGGAACAGACUUUGUUGGCUCCACGCAUAUGUUUGAUUUGCAAUUCCAUGGCCUAGCACGGGUGCUGAGUCAGACUGGCUUAUGCCAAGCUGAACGCACCAACUUGUUGAUUAACAAUGUCAUUGUACGGCCUUUGCCGAAAUACAACGUGCUCAUGACCCCGUCCAUUGUAAGGAUUUUCCUUCUUAAAAGUUGGUGUGUAUACUAUCUGUUCACCAUUAACUUUGUAUACCUAUUGCAGUACCUAUUGCCGUUGUAUUUGGUGGAUUCCUCCUACGGCCUCCUUGCAGUUAAUAUUGAAAAUAGGAGGACUCUCCUGAUUGAUCAUUCUAACGAGUCAUUCCUAGGCUCAGAGGACUUUCAUGACAAGGAACUUAAGAAGGAAGCCCUGAUAGUUCUGAAAGAAUUUGGCAGUGUAUUGCAACAGGAGAGGCCUGGUUUGAAUCCCCAACUCGUGGAUUGGCCACAAGAUCAUACCUAUAUUACAGCCCCGCGGUAAUAGUUUUAAUUGGUCAUGCACAAUACAGCCUCACUGGUAUAGGUUCUAACAUAUGGAGUUUUUUUGUCACAGCCUGGACUCUGGAUUCAAACUCCUACAGGAGAUGGCUCACCAAGAUGAUACUCUCGGGCAUAACAUUUCCAGGACUUCGGUAGGUGCAUAUAUAACAAGUUUCUCUCUUCCAUAUCAUUGUUGAAUAUAAAUUUAUGUUCUUCCACUCACAUAGGUUUGUUGUGCAAUUCAUUCUUCAACAAUUUAUUCCCUACAUAUAUAUAUAUAACAAUUCAUUUUUUUUAUGUUUUCUAGGAUUCAAUACAGCUCAGAAAGAACUUGCUGGUCCAGAUGCUGACGAUCAAAGGCAAUGAAGCAGCUGGAAACAUCCCAGCUGAAAUUACAGCGGCCUUGAGGUUUUUGGACGAAUGACUAUGGACUGAUGCAUAUUGAAAUGUCGCAGAUAUAAUAAGCCAAUAGAGCUUUGUUAGGGAUCAAAUAUCAGAUUUAUCCUUUUGGCAAUAUGAAUAAUGUAUUGGAUUAUAUAUAUGUAGGGAAUAAAUGCUUCGAUGGCACCCUCUAGCUUCGUAUUCGCUUCAACGUUGUCUGCUUGUUUUGGUUCUAUCUAUAUAAUUUGGCUUGUAUGUAUAUUUUGUACUAUAAUACCUGUGCGGUCAGGAGCAGGUUUGUUGCUCCCGGUGAACCGGAGGCAUUUUGAAGGUAAUAAUCUUUUUGAAUGCCCGUGCUGAUCAGAUGAUCAGAUGACAUUUUCUGAAAUAUUUUUAAAGUUUAAAGAGUGAUUGAUGGUGGCAUCCACUAGCUAUGUUGGUUGUAUAUCUAUCUUUCCUUCUAUCUAAAUUUUAUGGUUGUAGACCAGACAGUUUGGACCAGGUUUGCUCCAGGUGAACCUAAGUACUUUUGUGUUGGACCAUGGCAGGUUCACAACAUACUCAAAGUCCGGCAGGUGAUGUUUUCAGAAAUUCCGUGCCUCGCAUCAUAUACUACCUCGUAUAGUAUAACUCCAUCCUAUACGAGGUUUUCUUCAUCGGAAAUAAUCAGCUAGAGAAUAGUCAACAAACAUAUGACGGUCAUACAGGCACCAUAUACUACCUCGUAUAGUAUAACUCCAUCCAUACACGCACUGUUAUAAUACGAGGUUUUCUUCGUCCGAAAUAAUCACAUUCCAGCUAGAGAAUAGUCAAUAAACAUAUGACGGUCAUACGGCACGUACCUUGCAUAUAUUCUUAAAUUUUGAAGUUGUCCUUGAUCUUGCUCUCUCGCCGUUGCCUUUAAUUCCAGCUAGCGAAUAAACGCUGAUUAUCUUUUAUGUGCUCCUGAAUAGAGUAACAAAAAUGAGAAGGAAUAGUUUUUCUUAUUGAUCAGUACCUACAGUAAACAAGUAAAACCACGGUAACAGUAGAUAUGUUAGUGUGCAGGCUGUGAAUUUUAAUGAGUUGCAUACAAAUCAAUGAUAACUUCAUAAUUUAAUGAGUUACAUACACCGCGGGUGCCUUGGUGUAAAAUACGUCCUCAAACCCGUUGCAAGUUGUGAGCAAGUUAGCUAAAUUCCUCAGCGUGCCACUGACUGAAGAGGAGGAUAGAGCUCUGGUGUUGCUAAAGAGGUGGUGAGACUCUCCAGUUUUGAGACACUUACCAGCCUAUAAGUUAACCAGGUUGGGGCCGUUAGCCACGGAAACAAAGUUUAAUUUGGUAAUUCCUGGUUUAUAGGAAAUCAGGAGUAGGGGACUGGGUGAACCACAUGAGCCGCGAGAUGGGCGAGAAGUUAGACUGCAUCAGCCAACAGAAGCUUCAGUGGUUUGGGCUUGUGCUUCAAGUCAAUUUUGUUAUCUGUUCUGCUAUCAAUAUCCAUAAGCACAUUACAGAAUGUUCCCUACUUAUAUCUUACUCAGUCUACUGUAUAAUGUUGUCAAAAAUCUGAUCCCAGUGUUGUGCAACAAGAUUACGAGUGUGUGCAUUUUAUCUGAUACCUGUGUCAACUGUACACCAUAAGCAAGCUGGCAUUUGAAAACUACGGUCUUUUGUAAAGAAAACAAAUUAAGUAACCAUUUGAUCUCAACACAUUUUGCCCGUACACUUUUGCAGGAUCUUCAGCAAGUAGGGGUGAUGAAAAUUAGAUAAAAAAUGUUUUGUUUAGGUUUGGCCCCCUCAGACUUGUCCAUCAACAUUCUAAAACCAUCAACCUUGGGGGUCUUAUCUGAGGUUAAGUGAUUUCAAAGAUGACAGUGGCCUUGUAUUUGACUCAGGCCGGGCUAAGUGGUUUCAAAGGGAACCUGGUGGGCUGGUUGCUGUUGUACUCACAAUAUCACAGACCCCCACACAUAUAUAAUCCCAGGCUUGCAUAUCCGGUGCAGUGAUUGUUCGACAUAAACUUGCGAGUACAGGAACCUACUACUACUAAGGUACUAUACUAAUCAAGUCACAUUUUGUUCAAUUUGCUACCAUGUAGUUGUGUAGAGGAUGUACCUGGCUGGGCAAAGUCGCUCGAGUCUGCUCUGUCUCACCAUCAAAAAUCACCACCGUGGCCGUGUCUUGGCCGUCGGGGAUACGUCUUCGCCCUGGCCCUUCCUGUGAGGCCGGGUCACGGCUCCUCGAUACAUCAGUGAGGAGGAUAUCAGGUCAUGGAAGCAAAAAGGAAGAAUUUUCUUCAAGUUGCUACCAUGUAGAGGAUGUACCUAGCUGGGCAAAUUCGCAGGAGUCUGCUCUGUCACAGAUGGGCUGCAGCAGUUCCACGCCCCCUUGUGACCUACGGCCGCUCGUACUCAGUCGAUGUCGACCUUGCAAAAGAUCGAUGAUGCAUUAGGUGCAUUUGUGUUUUGAUUGUGCAAACAACAAAAUCCGAAGGCUGUUAAUUGCCAUCUUUCAGAAACAAAACAUUUAAGAUUGUUUGUUUGUUAAUUUAACUUGAUUUAUAGUACAUGUUGAACUAAUUAAAUACACAUAAAAUAUAUAGAAAGUUCAUGUUUACCUCUUCAAAUUGAACAAUAUUAAAAAAAGAAUAAAUAUUUAAAUAGACAAAUAAGAUAUUUCGUUUUUAUAUGGGAAGAUUUUAGAAGAACAAACAAGUAACUUAGUGGCAUGCAAUCAAUGAUAAGUUGUUUAUUUAAUUAAUACAACAAUUUAAUUAUUUAGUAAGUUCUGAUUUCUGACAUAUUUUCUAAUUUAUUAAGAGGUGUGCGUUUCAUGAAAAAAGGAAAGAUAUCUGCACCAUACAUAAGUACAUAUCUGAAAAAGGAAAGAUAUCUGCACCAUACAUAAGAAUAUAUCUGAAAAAGGAAAGAUAUCUGCUACCCAACCUUCCCCUGCAUGGCCUACCUAUAUAUGUUAACCUCAUGUGCCAUCCCUCAUCCCCUCCUUACUCUCCCUUCCCCCAUCACAGAUAUCAAAGGAUCAAAAUACCCAGACUUGGAGGACAAAUUCCCGAGGAGUACCUUCUGUAAGCAAGGGGCAUCAAGAAGGCGAGUUCCUCUAGGUAUGCAAAUUUCUAGAUCUUCCUCUUCUGUAAAAGGGUAACAGUUAUUAUAUUAGGAUCAUGUUUGGUCAGGCAUACCAUCAAAUUCCGAAAAAAACACCAGUGGAUAUAGUGCCAUCUUAUAAAAAGAUCAUAGCCAAUACAAUUGACUGUAGAUCUAAUCAAGCAGUCCUAUUAGGUGGGCUGCAACUGAAUACAAACAGUUCUUUCAGAUAUUAUAGGCUAAUAGUCUAUUCUGGACAUCGCACGUGUGUCAUACACCUAACUUUUGAAGUCAUGACCAUAGUUGACUGCCUAACUUUUUAAUGAAAUCUCAUAUAUAUAUUCGAGCCAGAAAAACAAACAAAUAACUUAUUAAGUGUUUCAACAUGCCAGAAAACAAACAAAUAUAAUAGGACUGCUUGAAGAUAUAUAUCAUCAGAGUCAUAAUAUUAAGUCAUUACAUGUAAUAGAAAUUGCUUGAGGACAAAAUGCUUCGAUGGAAUAGUCUAAAAUUAUUCACAAUGGAUAUGUAAUACUCUAAUACCAACUAUAUCCCAACCGAAUGAAUCUACAUUAUCACGAUAGAGCAAGUAAUACAAUGAAUAUAACAAAUUGAGGACAAUGUCAAAGCACAGCAUCUGGACAAGCAAGCAAUAAAAGCAAAGUUGGGCAGGAAGAUCUGUUGCUGUAUGAUGCAGUACGUAGAAGGUUGCAUAGUUAAAUUAAAAUAAACUACCACUGGUUUUGAAUAGAAAAACUGUACAGAAGUCAAGGGGAGUGAUUGUAUAUGACAUAAAUAAAAGAAUAUAUAAGGAAUACAGAUUCAGGCAUAAGUUCCAGGUAAGCAUGGUACAAAGUACAGAAAACAAGAUAAUAUGCUGCUCAUAAAAUUAUAUACAAUUUACCUGCUUUCCAAUUCUUUGUGAAUGUUCUCUUUCUCUUGAAGUACUUUUUGAACUCUUUGUACAGCAGCUCUAGCAUUUUCAAUCUCCAUGCGUGCAUUAGUUCGUUCUUC